GAAUUCUGCAAAACACAUUCAGAACCAAUAACGUGAGGGAAAUGCUCAGUUCUGCAAAUGUGCAAAGCUUUUACAGCCAAACUUACCCGUUACGGUUUGACACUCAGUUCUCUUGCGUGUCAGAUGUAGUUUCUCUUUGCCAUCAGAUUACGCGCCUGGGAGAGCUAGAGAACAAUACGCAUGUUCUAUUAGACAUGGACAUUCUUUUCUACUGAGGUGUAAUGUCUGCUUUUAUCUCAGAAUGACCCUUCUCUCCCCUGUGAUUUUUUCCGCAGCGUUUGGCAUCCUGUGUUGAAAAGUACAGUUUGGAUCUGACGGGCGGAGCCUUUCACUUGAGAGGGCAGGGCAGCAAGACCAAGUUACUCAGCUGUCGGGCUGUAGAAACCUUUCCCACCCACGCAGCCAGAGAAGGCAGCGUUGAUGAAGGUUUGUUCCUGAUGUCUGCAUUUGGUGAUUCUAAACUAAAUGGUUUUGGAAUCCAAGCAAUGAAUGCUGUUCCAUACCCACAGCCUGAAAGUCUUCAAUAUCUGUGUAGGCUAACUUGUGGGGAUUCGUUUGGGGUUUUUUUUUUGCUAAACCUCUUGAUCAACUCUUACUGUAUGGAAAACUUGAUUAGCUAAUAAUUGUGUGCUUGAUUUGGCUUAGGACGGGUACAAUCUGAACUUGAAAAGGGGGCAGUAUGACUGAAACCUAUCACAGAGAUGUUUGCUAUGGUGUAAAUGUUUAAAAUGAUUCUUAGCAAGGUGUUGUGUUUCAUGAGUGAUGUAACAGAAUGAAGCCAAAAUAGAAAGUGGUGUUUUGAAAAUGUCAGAUGCAUUGUAUUUUCUCCCACUAAGAAACAAUGUCUUGUCUUUUCCAGUCAUAUCUCCUGGCACCAGUGUCUCAGUCUUUAGCUGGCAAGUGAAUACACGCGGUCAGGGAAAACCAUCUACUUAUUUGGGUGUAUUUGACAUUAAUUGCUGGUAUCAGGCUCAAAUGCCAGGCUCACUAAGGCCAGAAGAAUCCCUUCAGGACUACCCCUGUUUUGCACUGUGGUCACUGGACACUGUAACAAGCACGACUGCUCCAAACCUCCUUCUGGAUGUUGUGGUGCAGGAGCGCAGCCUAAGUCAGAGAGUUCCUCCUUCUUACCCGCUGCCUGCGCAGUUUCUUCACCCAAGCACCUAUAAUUUUGAUGGCACGUGCUUGCUGAGCUCUGGAGUUGUUCAUAUGACUUGCAGCGGCUUCCAGAAGGAGGUGAGCUUUUACUGUGUCUUUAUAGAGAAUGUCAAGAGAUGGACCUUUCCUAAGCUUUCCAUGGUGCUGCUUUUAGCGUCAGAGACCAUUUUAUGCUGCUUCUGCCCAUCCACACGCGUAACUGCAAUUGUACCCUGCCAGUUUUAUGCAAAUGGUGAUGUUCGAGGUCCCCUCUGGGGCGUGUAAACCCACCAUUGCCUCCCGUUGAAGCACGAUCAGGGCCUGAAUGUCUAGAAAGGAAGACAGCGCUGCUCUAGGAGCAGGAAGAGAAAGUCGGGGAAAGCUGUUCCUUUUCUCUCAUCAAUGAGUCCAACUGCCUGCGUGGUCUUGAGUUUGGGUUUUGAUCCCUGAUUAGCUGGGAAAAGGAGGGCAGACUGGAGAAAAGGAAGCAUCGUUCCCUCAGAACAACCUUCCCCCCAUCAGUCUCUGAAAGCAUGAGGUUCCGUGCAGGAGCUGACGAUGGGGGUGUCUCACUCGGAUGCGAGCUGUUGCCAACAGCCGCUUGCUGCACUCUACGUGAUCAUUUGCUUCCAAGGACGUGGGCUGCAGCAAACAAUUACCGUUGGCAACGCUACCUGAUGACUUCCUCACCACUUCCCUGUAUUUUCCCUUCAUCGGUCAGCUGUGCUGCAGCCUCUCAAAGCAGAUCUUCACCUCUGUAGCCUUUGCCUUGUGCUUCAGUCGCCCCAUUGACUCCUCUUGGACUGCCCUCUUGUUGCUGCAACACCUCAGUCACCUUUAG